GGGGGAUAUUGCACAAUGGGGGAAACCCUGAUGCAGCGACGCCGCGUGAGGGAUGAAGGCCUUCGGGUUGUAAACCGCUUUCAGCAGGGACGAAGGGUUUCUGACGGUACCUGCAGAAGAAGCACCGGCUAACUACGUGCCAGCAGCCGCGGUAAUACGUAGGUGGCGAGCGUUGUCCGGAAUUACUGGGCGUAAAGGGCGCGUAGGCGGCUCUUUAAGUUAGAUGUGAAAACCCAGGGCUCAACCCUGGGAGUGCAUUUAAAACUGAAGGGCUCGAGUGCAGGAGAGGUAAGUGGAAUUCCUAGUGUAGCGGUGAAAUGCGUAGAUAUUAGGAGGAACACCAGUGGCGAAGGCGACUUACUGGACUGUAACUGACGCUGAGGCGCGAAAGCGUGGGGAGCAAACA
rnacentral:rRNA from 1 species